rnacentral:rRNA from 1 species
AGAGUUUGAUCCUGGCUCAGGAUGAACGCUAGCUACAGGCUUAACACAUGCAAGUCGAGGGGAAACGACAUCGAAAGCUUGCUUUUGAUGGGCGUCGACCGGCGCACGGGUGAGUAACGCGUAUCCAACCUGCCCACCACUUGGGGAUAACCUUGCGAAAGUAAGACUAAUACCCAAUGACGUCUCUAGAAGACAUCUGAAAGAGAUUAAAGAUUUAUCGGUGAUGGAUGGGGAUGCGUCUGAUUAGCUUGUUGGCGGGGUAACGCCCACAGGCGACGAUCAGUAGGGGUUCUGAGAGGACGGUCCCCCANAUUGGAACUGAGACACGGUCCAAACUCCUACGGGAGCA